rnacentral:rRNA from 1 species
GACGAACGUUGGCGGCGUGCUUAACACAUGCAAGUCGAACGGAAAGGCCCCUUUGGGGGUACUCGAGUGGCGAACGGGUGAGUAACACGUGAGUAACCUGCCCUUGACUUCGGGAUAACUUCAGGAAACUGGGGCUAAUACCGGAUAGGAAUCCUUGCUGCAUGGUGGGGGUUGGAAAGCUUCGGCGGUUUUGGAUGGACUCGCGGCUUAUCAGCUUGUUGGUGGGGUAGUGGCUUACCAAGGCUUUGACGGGUAGCCGGCCUGAGAGGGCGACCGGCCACAUUGGGACUGAGAUACGGCCCAGACUCCUACGGGAGGCAGCGGUGGGGAAUAUUGCACAAUGGGCGGAAGCCUGAUGCAGCAACGCCGCGUGCGGGAUGACGGCCUUCGGGUUGUAAACCGCUUUCAGCAGGGGCGAAGCUUGUGGUGACGGUACCUGCAGAAGAAGCACCGGCUAACUACGUG